GAUGAACGCUGGCGGCAUGGAUAAGGCAUGCAAGUCGAGUGGGUUUAGGCCCACGGCAAACGGGUUAGUACAACAUAGGAACGUGCCCUCGAGUCGCGAAUAAUUCGGAGAAAUCCGAAAUAAUACGCGAUACCUCUACGGAGGAAAGUCUUCGGACGCUUGAGGAGCGGCCUGUGCGCUAUCAGCUAGUUGGUGGGGUAA
rnacentral:rRNA from 1 species